AGUAGCUUUAGGAUCUCUCACAAUUUGGCCACACCUUUUAUGUUUUUCACAGUUCAACCACAAUAUUUUCUGCACCUCCGUAAUCUGGUCCUUCGUCUACCCUUCAAUCGAUUUAGAUCCUUAUGGUAGCCUUCCCUUCGAUUUCUUCUAAUCGUCUCUUUACACAUUCCUUUGUAAUUGCCACCUACUUUGUUCCAUUGUCUUCAAGUGUGUUUCUAGAGCCGAUCCCAUCAUCUUUCCUUUCUACUCUACCGCUUUCCCCUCCUUUUGUUUUUCGUUUUUAUUUCACCCUCUCCCUAAUGUUAUUUGCUUGGUGGAGAAUCGGAGGGUUCUAAAUGUAGCGAGUGUUUGUGACAGUGUUGACCACCAACGACCUAGCCAGAGACGUCGUAGAGUUUUACUUAUCCCGGCCACCUAAGCAUACCAAAGAACAAGGAAGUAGCAACUUGGCCCAAGCAACGACGGAGAGCAAAGACGUCGAUCGGAGUUUCAUCGCGUCAUCAUCUUCCCAUCAAUCUGCAACCAUCUCCAGUUAAAAGUUACGAACUGCGAUGAGGAAGCAAAAAUGAAGAUUUAUUCAAUUUCCUCCUAAUGUUGUUAUACAUUUACAUCCAUGUGUGUGAAGAGGACUCAUAUAAGAUCAAAGAUCUAGCUGACGACGUUCUUUGGGUGGUGUCUGAUUCUUAUCUUGAUGCUAAGAAAAAAGACUAUUGAUGUUGAGAAGAAAGACAAUCAAGGGGAACCUUUUCAUGAUAGGAAGGUUGUCCCAUAUGAUCGAAAAUACCAUGAGGAAUGGACCAUAAUCAAUGCUCAAGAAUAUGAAAAGUCUCGUCCUCACAACUUUUAUUUUUACAUACUAGAGAUGUUUAGUCCACCACCACCAUGUGCUUUCUCUACGUGUCAGAGCACAUAUUGUGAUGGAUGUGUAAGAAGGUAACACUAUGUUGGAAUGUGAAAAAUUGUAUGAUACAACCGAGUAUUAGUGAUCAUGUAUCACCAGUCUUGUGGUUAUGAUGAACAAAUUGUAAGUUCGAAUGGUAGCAACCAAGUUUUUUGCUUCAAUUCUAAGUCAACAUCAUCAAUUUUUUGAAAUCU